GCUGAAUAUUGAAGUCUUCCAGGCAGAGGAGGUUGCUAGUACUGCACAAUAUCUCAGAAGUGUGGACCCACUUGUGUGAGCUCUUCUUCAUCCUGCUGAGGUAGUUCAGUCUCUUCCCUUCAGGCUGCUCUUCACUCCUGUCUUCCCAGCUGCUGAAACCUCAUACCAGCCCCGCUGCCCGGCUGAGCAGACAGCUCAGUACGUGGGACCAAGCUGGAUGGCUGCCCUUUCACCUGCUCCUGCCAGAAAAGUGUGCUGCACCCCGGGAGCCUCGAGACGGCGUUCAGACCUGCUGACCCCUGCGCAGCCCCAGAAAGACAAAGGGUGAAAUAAGACUCUGUUAACAAGAGACAGCACGCCACAGAAGGGAGGGCUGGCGGAGCCUGGACAGCUAUGGGGGGACGGAUCCUGGCCACGGAAGCAAUGGAGCUGCUAAGACCAGGCUGCGCCUCAAUAGCGCAGCUUAGUCCGCACCAGUCCUACCAUAAUCCCCAUGUUGAAGUGUGCAAGCCAUGAAUUAAACCCAGGAAGUAAUUAAACAUCAUCUACUUUAACAGCCACUAGCAGGAAAAUAAAUAAGACAUCCCAACAGAGGAAGAUAGAGUAAUUUCACGUUUACGCUUCCAAGGGAAAAGGGAAUUUGAAACAAACAAACCAUCUUUUUUUUCCUGCAGAAAGAGAAACUCAAUUGCCUGUCAAAGCGGGACCAUAGCGACACCGAGGGCUCUGCGCAAAAUUCUUCUGUUUGCUUCUGCAUUUGAUUAGCUGCCUGCGUUAUGUGUUUUAAUUUCCUGCCGUUGAAGCGCAUUGCUGUCAUGGUGAUAGAUGCUAUAGAAAUGAAUAAAAUAAAUAAAUAAAA
rnacentral:lncRNA from 1 species